rnacentral:tRNA from 1 species
UCCCUGGUGGCUCAGAUGGUAAAGAAUCUGCCUGCAAUGCAGGAGACCCGGGUUCGAUCCCUGGGUUGGGAA